rnacentral:rRNA from 1 species
CCUACGGGUGGCUGCAGUGGGGAAUAUUGGACAAUGGGCGCAAGCCUGAUCCAGCAAUGCCGCGUGUGUGAAGAAGGCCUGCGGGUUGUAAAGCACUUUAAGCAGGAAAGAAGGGGUGGGAGUUAAUACCUUUCAUCAUUGACGUUACCUGCAGAAUAAGCACCGGCUAACUCCGUGCCAGCAGCCGCGGUAAUACGGAGGGUGCAAGCGUUGCUCGGAGUUACUGGAGGUGAAGCGCGCGUAGGCGGGUGAAGGCCCCGGGCUUAACCUGGGAACGGCGGUGGAUACUGUCGGGAUAGAGUGUGGUAGAGGGGAGUGGAAUUUCCGGUGUAGCAGUGAAAUGCGUAGAGAUCGGAAGGAACACCAGUGGCGAAGGCGGCUCCCUGGACUAACACUGACGCUGAGGUGCGAAAGCGUGGGGAGCAAACAGGAUUAGAUACCCCAGUAGUC